rnacentral:lncRNA from 1 species
CUACAACACCAUGGCUUUAGUGCGUGUCCUUCUGGUCAGAAAACAAGAAGAGCUCUAGCAAAGUUCAUGUAGCAUGUAGUUCGGUACUAUCAAAAUUCAAAAGCAAACAGUGAGACAGUGGGACCUUUAAAUCUAUGGGAUGGAGCAUUUCGUGUAAAUAAUUUUAGGGACCGUGUGGGGUGCUUUUCAAAUCUCCCAACCCGCAAAC